CUAACUGCCUGCUCCUACUGGGCAGCCAUUGCUUGCAAGAUAAUGUGAAAAAAAGUAUCAGAAGAUGUUAUUAUGACAAUUAAGAGCUUUAGGGCUGAGCACAUCCCUAGUCCAAAUGUCUCAUUUUUCAUUCUCAAUGGCUGAAGUACACCAGUGACGCCUUUUCCACAGAAGGAAAAGCAGGCAUUCAUGAGGUGGAGCUUGGACAACACAGGAGGAUUUUAUUCAGUUGCAAUAUACCUUUUAGUGAAGUGAGUUAAUUUAGCUGCACAAAACCCAAGGAGAGUGAUAAUCACUGAAAAACCCUGCUGAUGACUCCUCACGUGGCUUCAGACUGCCUCUUGAAGGCUCCAUGUGGCUGUUUCAGAAGUGCAGCCUCCCUGCCUGUGUCGUAUAUUGAUGCAGGAGAGCAAGACAAACUGUAGACAAUAGUGAGGGAAUAUUACAAUUUGAGGAGGAUAAAGUUCAGCCUUUGAAACUGAAAGAGGCUACUCCUUGGACCACUGUGGUUUGUCAUAACACUGGAAAA